rnacentral:lncRNA from 1 species
CUCGAGUCCCCGACGAGCAUCAACCGCAUUUGGGGAACCCAAGACAGCCUCCCCAGCAGCUUGCCCUCGGUUUCGGGGACCCCUGAACAACCCAACCAAGAAGGGAAAACUAGGGCGCACUCUCGGUCGGGGUGGGAGAGGAAAGGGGCUGGGGCUUCACGGAGUUUGGAGUUUGAACCCACCCGCACCCCUUUGAGCUAGGAAGUUUGACCCUUCGACGAGCAGGUCGCCUGGGGUAUGCCCCUGUCUCCGUGCCUCUGUCUCAGCACCGAGCGUCGGAGAGAGAGCGCGCCCUCCGCACCUUCUCCCACUUUGGGACAGACUUUCCCUUGCGCUGUCAGAGGGACCCGAGGCUGAGUACGAGGCGAGGCGGCAGGCAGCUCAGGCUGGCUGCGCAGCGCUGAGUGGCACCGCCGCCGCUCCCCAGGGGCAGGGCCCACCCCACACCCGGCUGACUCUCGCUGCCCUUCCUCCUUCCCUAUCGGGCUCUGCGGUCUGGAGGCUGGAGAGCGGUGAGGACCAGGGACUGCCCUGUCCAUCUCGGGCGGGUGCCGGCGUGGGUGGCGGGGCGCAGGCUGGGAAAGGGAGGGCGCAAGUAACUGGUGUGAGAGGCAGGGGUUCAGGGAUCCUUGCUCUUGAGCCACGAUUUCCGAUGAGCCCCUGCCGAGAGCAUGCCGCUCUGGACUCACUCCUCAAACAUAACUGCUCUGCUGGAACGAGAGACUUCACCACCCUGUGCCUCAGUUUCCUCAUCUGAAAUGGAGGGGCCUUCCCUGCGAGAAGUCAGAGCUGUGCCCGUGGGCAGGCUGGCUCCGCUGUUCUGCUCCAAGGAUUACAUGUCCUUCAAACGUCCCUGCCCCUGUAAGUUUCCUCCCCACAUCCUUCCACCACUUGGGGCCAGGCAAGGGCAGAGCUUGGAGUCGAGCUGCAGAGAACGGCUUGAGGUGUUUGGCCAAAGAACUG